GACGAACGCUGGCGGCGUGCUUAACACAUGCAAGUCGAGCGGAAAGGCCCUUUCGGGGGUACUCGAGCGGCGAACGGGUGAGUAACACGUGAGUAAUCUGCCCUUGGCUUUGGGAUAGCUUCGGGAAACCGAAAUUAAUACCGGAUAUGACCACUCCAGGCAUCUGGUGGUGGUGGAAAGUUUUUUCGGCCAGGGAUGUGCUCGCGGCCUAUCAGCUUGUUGGUGGGGUAAUGGCCUACCAAGGCUUCGACGGGUAGCCGGCCUGAGAGGGUGACCGGCCACACUGGGACUGAGACACGGCCCAGACUCCUACGGGAGGCAGCAGUGGGGAAUAUUGGACAAUGGGCGGAAGCCUGAUCCAGCAACGCCGCGUGAGGGAUGACGGCCUUCGGGUUGUAAACCUCUUUCACCACCGACGAAGCGCAAGUGACGGUAGGUGGGGAAGAAGCACCGGCCAACUACGUGCCAGCAGCCGCAGUAAUAC
rnacentral:rRNA from 1 species